AUACGGAGGGUCCGAGCGUUAUCCGGAAUCAUUGGGUUUAAAGGGUCCGUAGGCGGGAAUCUAAGUCAGUGGUGAAAUCUUGCAGCUCAACUGUAAAAUUGCCAUUGAUACUGGAUUUCUCGAAUUAGUGUGAAGUGGUUAGAAUGUGUAGUGUAGCGGUGAAAUGCAUAGAUAUUACACAGAAUACCAAUUGCGAAGGCAGAUCACUAACACUAUAUUGACGCUAAGGGACGAAAGCGUGGGGAGCGAACAGGAUUAGAAACCCCGGUAGUCC
rnacentral:rRNA from 1 species